GAGCCAGCGCCGCGCAGCUUGGGCGGCCGGAGUCGGGGCAGGGGAGACGGGUUCAAAAAAUAAUUAAAAAUCGAGGAAAUACCCCAGACAAGACCUUUCGCCGUGAAAACCCCACAGAGGACCCAGGCUACCCGCAACGGAGGUUUGGGGUGCCGGGAAGGUCUGGACCGCGACCCCUGGGGCUUUGGAUACCGAGGGGGAAACUUGCAGGGGUGAGCGCGGCGGCGGGAGUGUCCGGCCGCGGCCCACAAGGGCAGAGGCCGGGGACGGUGGCGAAGAGCUGGGGGACAGACGAGAACGGGGAGCCGCCGGAGAGAGGCGCGGGGGGCUCCGGCCUCUCCUUCGGGGGGGACCCGCUAUCGCCCCUGCACACACCUCCUCCCCCCUCCCACCCCACCCAGCUCUCCGCACCCAGGAAACUGAAGGCCGAAACGAGGACAUGUGACAAAACUGGCUCCUACAGGAUUGAUGUUGAAAAUUCACCUUCCAGAAGAUGCCCGGGCAUCCGUGUAGACUGGACUUGGUCUCUACCCUCUCUGUCCUGGGCAGUCAGACCUGGUGCCUGGUGGUGACCUCGAGCCAGAAGAAGCCUCUCGCCAGGAUCACCAAGAAGGAGGCAUUUGUUUCUCCGUGCUGGCUAAGCUAGGAAAGCCUGGCUUUGAGAGGUUAUUUGUAACAAGAAUUGAAACCUAAAGGAUUUUUUUUCAAAUUAUCCUUCAGGGGCUUCCCUUGUGGCGCAGUGGUUGGGAGUCCGCCUGCCGAUGCAGGGGACACGGGUUCGUGCCCUGGUCCGGGAGGAUCCCACAUGCCGCGGAGCGGCUGGGCCCGUGAGCCACGGCCGCUGAGCCUGCGCGUCCGGAGCCUGUGCUUCGCAACGAGAGAGGCCACAGCAGUGAGGGGCCCGCGUAUUGCAAAAAAAAAAAAAAAAAUUA